GGGUUGGGUGGGUCGAUUCUAUCCCCACAUGGUGUGUUGGACUGGUCGAAGAUGGUGUGCAAGUAAUCCUCAGCAGUAGACGGAUUGGUGCGACGGAAGGUCCCGAUGGUGCCCACUGUUGGACAUUUAUGGAUUUUUUAGUAACAUUCUAUUUUGUCUGCUUUAUUCUAAAUAUUUAUUUUUUGGAUUAAAA